rnacentral:rRNA from 1 species
CCUACGGGAGGCAGCAGUGAGGAAUAUUGGUCAAUGGUCGGGAGCCUGAACCAGCCAAGCCGCGUGAGGGAGGAAGGUCCUGCGGAUCGUAAACCUCUUUUGUCAGGGGACAAGGCCUGGCACUCGUCCCUUUGUGCAUGUACCUUACGAACCAGCAUCGGCUAACUCCGUGCCAGCCGCCGCGGUAAUACGGAGGGUGCGAGCGUUAUCCGAAUUUAUUGGGUUUAACGGGUGCGCAGGCGGUCUGUUAAGUCAGGGGGUAAAGCCCCGGGCUCAACCCGGGCCCCGCCGUUGAUACUGGCAGGCUCGAGUGGGGGAGAGGUAGGCGGAAUGCGAGGUGUAGCGGUGAAAUGCAUAGAGAUCGCGCAGAACUCCGAUGGCGAAGGCAGCAUGCUGG